GUGUCAGCAGCCGCGGUAAGACGGAGGGUGCAAGCGUUAUUCGGAAUCAUUGGGCGUAAAGAGCGUGUAGGCGGCCGGUUAAGUCAGGUGUGAAAGCCCGGGGCUCAACUCCGGAAGUGCACUUGAAACUGGUCGGCUUGAGUUCGGGAGAGGGAAGCGGAAUUCCUGGUGUAGAGGUGAAAUUCGUAGAUAUCAGGAGGAACAUCGGUGGCGAAGGCGGCUUCCUGGACCGAAACUGACGCUGAGACGCGAAAGCGUGGGGAGCAAACAGGAUUAGAUACCCUGGUAGUCCACGCUGUAAACGAUGGGCGCUAGGUGUGGGGGGUUUUUAAUCCCUCCGUGCCGCAGUUAACGCAUUAAGCGCCCCGCCUGGGGAGUACGGUCGCAAGAUUAAA
rnacentral:rRNA from 1 species